CGCUGCUUUAGUUCGUGUUUUGAUUUUGCUCACUGUGGCAUGUGUUCGUAGCUUACUGUGUGUGCUUCUGCGUAAGUUGAAACGUGGACUGGUGUGUCCAUUUCACAGAAUUUUAUCGGGCUAUGAAAGAAAAGGACAGGCAUGCGCAUAUACGCAGCGCGUACGAUUCGGAGACUGUGAUGCUGCAGAAACAAUGCUCUAAGCGAAUAUAUCGCGUAGUUCACACACUGAAGAGCGAGAGUAAAGUACUAAGCAACGUGAAUUUGUGGAGCAUGAAUAUAGAGCGCAGGAGAGCUUCUAGUAGUUGGUACAUGGGUGAACUGUCUUUUUUUUUUUAAUCUCUUCUCGUAUACACCAAUGAAGGAAACUUCAAAACCAAACGAAAUUUAAUGGUGCUUGCUGAUAACACACGAUGGCUCCAACUCAUUUCUCUACAAUUAAAUGGCUUGAACCUCCUGACAACUUCAUUUCCAUCAACGUGCGAUGAUUGUUGAACGCUACUUUCCAAUAAAAAUUAAACCCACAUGAUCGUGUCAUUUAUGGACAUUUAUCUAAAUUCGAAUCGUUAUCGACCCAGCUGUUUUGCACCUUCGGCUUUUAAGGUAGCAUUUCGACGUUGUUUAUUAGGCUUUUACAUUCCUCGCUUCAUUAGUACAGAUAACGCGCCUUCAUUUUGCAUAAUGCAAUGCCUCGAGAAGAAUGGGCGUGAUCGAGCCUCGGAUGUCAAAUCAAGGUGGGAUUCAGCACGCUGUUGUGCCUGGUCCGGGCGCAAACACAAAGGCAAGAAUACGGCGCAUGCCAAUGCGCGGGAGUCACCGGCGCGAUUAGACCGGAGACGUGCCAGCGCGGCCGCACGGGUCGCUUCCGUUUGACCCGACCUCCCCUCGGCGUUUGAUUCCGCGGAAGCGGGCGGCGCGGAAGGACGAGUCUGUCGAGUGAGAAAAUAAGCACGGACGCCUCCACUCGCCGUCGAAAAGUCGCCAAGUGCUGACGCUUUCUCACGUCCGGCAUGCCAUGCGCGAUUCAUCACGCCUUGCCCGAUGUGCGCGGACCCGUUCUCCUCCUCCUCGUUUGAGCGCAAUGCGGCCCAAUAUUCAUCGGUAGAAGGGAAAUGCCAGCUUCGCGACUGGGCUCCGUCUCGACAAAAGAGUGCAGCGUCGUAAAAGGUGGUGUUGCACUCUUCUAUACCUAAAGGCAAGGAGUUCCACAAUGAGAUGCAAGAAAUACGUUGCCUCGAUGUCCUCCUCAGCGGCAGAAGAGGUGCGGACCCUUUUGGUUCCACCCUCGUCGAAAUAGUGCUGCGUGCGCUGUCUGUGGUUGCGUCGAGACCCCGUCACGCCUGACUGUCUUCAGUUUCACCCACAUAGACAAUCACUCAGUAAUCAGUGCACCUGCCCUCCUUCCCCAACACCCCCGAAAUCACAAUGUGUCAAAUUGUUUUACUUUACCGGCGCUGCCUCUCCUGGUCUUGUUGGUGACAGAGUGUAGCUGCUGCUGGCGCCGUGAAAGAAGAACAUGCAUCAGUAAAGUAAAAAUAAAAAGAGAAAUAAAGAAAAUAUUGCGUACCUGUUUAUUACGCGCACCACUGAAUUUUAUCUCUGCCACGCUCGGUCGUGCGGCGACUAAAAAGCACCCUCGGCUUCAGCAAGCCUGGUUACCUGACCUUGUGUGUGAUCACUUUUUAGCCACCCUUGGACAUCAAGUAGUUCACGCACCUCCCCACGGUGGUCAAGGCCGCCGUGACAGUGAGGUCUUGCUUGAAGAAUGUGCCAGACGGGGUAGCAAAGCUUCAGGUAAGGU